AUGGAGGUUCGGAGGUCGACGCGGAUGGCUUCCAGGCCCCCCACCGUAGGAAUAGGUGCCGGGGCGCGCGCCGUGAUGCCACCCUGUCGGCCCAGCGGCACCACCGCCGCAGCCCCUCUCCGGAGGAGGCCGCUGGCCUCUGCUUCCUCUGCCUGGACCCCAUCAACCCCGUGCGCGAGUGCACCAAUGACAUCCGCCGCCGUCGUUGCCUCUACUUUGGACACGGCUCGCGUGACUGCUGGAAGUUCCGCCGUGGCGUGCUGUGCACCCCCCCGCCGCCGCAUUGCGCUCCUCAAGGACGGCGACGCCAACACAUCUUUCUUCCACCGGCAAUGCACGUACCGGCGACAGAAGAAUCGGAUCCACAACCUCACUGUGGACGGCGUUUUGAUCUUUGCCCCCUGCGACAUGGCGGCCGUGGCAUACGCACACUUCGACGCCUUGCUCGGCUGCGAGACGUCCCGCGAGUGCAGCCUCGACCUCUCCGAGCUGAUCCCACCCACCAACCUCGAUGACCUUGACGCCCCUUUCUACGCCGAGGAAAUUUGGCAGGCGGUGAAACGCCUCGUACGUAAAGCUCCCGGCCCGGACGGCUUCAUCGCCGAGUUCUUACGCGCGUGCUGGCCCAUCGUCCGGCAAGAUUUCGUCGACGUCUUCCAGUGGCUGUACGAGAUGCGUGGUCGGGGCUUUUGCUCCCUCAACCAGGCGCUGCUCACCUUGCUCCCGAAGCGCGCAGACGCUUGUGGCCUAGGCAACUUUAGGCCUAUAAGCCUAAUCCAACUCGUCGCCGAAAUCUUUGCCAAGGUCUUAUCGUUACGCCUCGCGCCAAAGCUCCACAACCUCGUUAGCACGUGCCAGAACACAUUCAUCCACAGCCGCAGCCUGCACAACAACUUCAUCCUCGUGCGCCAAUCCGCGCUCCUUCUACACUAG
rnacentral:rRNA from 1 species